CAGCGGCCCUAGUGGUGAUCGUUAUUAUUGGGCCUAAAGCGUCCGUAGCCGGUUCGGUAAAUCUCUGGGUAAAUCGAUGGGCUCAACCCAUCGAAUUCUGGGGAGACUGCUGGACUUGGGACCGGGAGAGGUCGGAGGUACUCCAGGGGUAGGGGUGAAAUCCUGUAAUCCUUGGGGGACCACCGGUGGCGAAGGCGUCCGACCAGAACGGGUCCGACGGUAAGGGACGAAGCCCUGGGGCGCAAACCGGAUUAGAUACCCGAGUAGUCC
rnacentral:rRNA from 1 species